UACAGAGGUCUCAAGCGUUGUUCGGAUUUACUGGGCGUAAAGGGCGCGUAGGCGGCGUGACAAGUCACUUGUGAAAUCUCCGGGCUUAACUCGGAACGGUCAAGUGAUACUGUCGUGCUAGAGUACAGAAGGGGCAACUGGAAUUCUCGGUGUAGCGGUGAAAUUCGUAGAUAUCGGGAGGAACACCUGCGGCGAAGGCGGGUUGCUGGGCUGACACUGACGCUGAUGCGCGAAAGCCAGGGGAGCGAACGGG
rnacentral:rRNA from 1 species